UGCAGUCGACGGCAGCACGGGGGCAACCCUGGUGGCGAGUGGCGAACGGGUGAGUAACAUAUCGGAACGUGCCCUGGAGUGGGGGAUAACUAGUCGAAAGAUUAGCUAAUACCGCAUACGAUCUACGGAUGAAAGUGGGGGAUCGCAAGACCUCAUGCUCGUGGAGCGGCCGAUAUCUGAUUAGCUAGUUGGUGGGGUAAAGGCCUACCAAGGCAUCGAUCAGUAGCUGGUCUGAGAGGACGACCAGCCACACUGGGACUGAGACACGGCCCAGACUCCUACGGGAGGCAGCAGUGGGGAAUUUUGGACAAUGGGCGCAAGCCUGAUCCAGCAAUGCCGCGUGAGUGAAGAAGGCCUUCGGGUUGUAAAGCUCUUUUGUCAGGGAAGAAACGGNGNGGGCUAAUAUCCNUUGCUAAUGACGGUACCUGAAGAAUAAGCACCGGCUAACUACGUGCCAGCAGCCGCGGUAAUACGUAGGGUGCAAGCGUUAAUCGGAAUUACUGGGCGUAAAGCGUGCGCAGGCGGUUGUGCAAGACCGAUGUGAAAUCCCCGGGCUUAACCUGGGAAUGGCAUUGGUGACUGCACGGCUAGAGUGUGUCA
rnacentral:rRNA from 1 species